UAACACGUGAGCAACCUGCCCUAUACAACGGGAUAACACAGAGAAAUUUGUGCUAAUACGGUAUAAGACCACAGUAUCGCAUGAUACAGGGGUAAAAGAUUUAUCGGUAUAGGAUGGGCUCGCGACCCAUUAGCUAGUUGGUGAGGUAACGGCCCACCAAGGCAACGAUGGGUAGCCGACCUGAGAGGGUGAUCGGCCACACUGGGACUGAGACACGGUCCAGACUCCUACGGGAGGCAGCAGUGGGGAAUAUUGGGCAAUGGAGGCAACUCUUACCCAGCAAUGCCGCGUGAAUGAAGAAGGUCUUCGGAUUGUAAAGUUCUUUAAUUGGGGACGAAAAAAAUGACGGUACCCAAGGAAUAAGCCCCGGCUAACUACGUGCCAGCAGCCGCGGUAAUACGUAGGGGGCAAGCGUUGUUCGGAAUGACUGGGCGUAAAGGGUGUGUAGGCGGUGUAGCAAGUUAGAAGUGAAAUACCUAGAGCUUAACUCAGGUGCUGCUUCUAAAACUGCUAUACUUGAGUGCAGUAGAGGAAAGUGGAAUUCCUAGUGUAGCGGUGGAAUGCGUAGAUAUUAGGAGGAACAUCAGUGGCGAAGGCGACUUUCUGGACUGUAACUGACGCUGAGGCACGAAAGUGUGGGGAGCAAACAGGAUUAGAUACCCUGGUAGUCCACACUGUAAACGAUGGAUACUAGGUGU
rnacentral:rRNA from 1 species